GCCAAAUCUCGCCCAGAGCGAAUGUCAAGCCUGGUCGUCGUCGUUCUCCCCACCCCACCCGCCCCACCAUUCGACAGGACGUCUGGUUUUUUAUUGUAAUGUUCUUGGAUCUUCGCACAGGGCAAAUCUAUAGUGUAAACUGGGUGGCAUUCUCUCUACAUUGAAACACAGAGCACACGGGGGAAACUGAUAAUCACAUAUUGGAAAAGAAGAAGACAAAUCUAAAGGGUUCUUUUUUUUAUCUAUAGUAAUUAGGUGGACAGUCUUUCUCCCCUUUCCUUGCUGGAGCCCGGGAUGAUAAUUAAAAUUUAAUGACGGCUGGGACGAGGGGGAGCCCUUGUCUGGGGACGCCGGAAGAGAAUAUUUUAACUGUACAUUUACGCCAAGUGUCUGGCUUCAAAGACGUGACUGCUUUUAAUCUCGAAUUAGAAAAACCACAGACCUGAAAUUAAAUAUUAGACGCCCUCUCGGUUCUUUUCCCUUCCUUCCCACAGUACUGUCACCAGUGUGUUUCCUUUCCUUGCCCAAGAACAGCACACACAUCUCAAAUCUCCAAUUACAUUUGCGUAAAUAAUGCAUGGCUUUGAUGGGGUACGGGAUUUGGUGCUUUUGGAUUUUUUUUUUGAAAGAAAAAAACAGGCUAAUGCAAUAUUAAUCACUGGCGGCUGUUAUAAGAAGGCGCAGGGUUUUUCAGGAACAAAUCGAUGGCGGCUGGGGAUGGGAAGAGCAAAGACUACCUUUCUCCUUGCGGUGCAGUCGGGUUUCCAAAGGCUCCUUGAGCUUUGGAUUUCUGUCCCCCGAGGCGACUCAGGAAGUCAUUGGAAGAGCUUGAUUUCUGCCCGUCUGGGCUGGUCUACAAAGAAACCCUCAGCCCUGGAGAGGAGGUGCUACAGGCAAGCGUCGGAACACUGUAGUGUAAAGCAACAACCCAGCGUGUAAAGAGCAGGCGCUGCUGUCCGAGAGCCGCACCUCUAGGGGAGACCCGGGCGCCUUUUCCUUCAGCCAGCCGGAGGAAGGUCGAAGACCCCCGAGAGGAUUUGCCAUUCCUCCCUCUGCAACCCCAGUCUUCCUGGAAGGUCUCUCAUACAACUACUUACCACGGAUGGCCCUGCUUAGCUCCCAAGCUCUGCAAAAUCCCAACACAGAAGCUCCAUUGCCACUGCAAACAAAAUACUUCCGCAUGUGCAGAACCCAUGGCAUCAAAACGAUGACAGCAUAGUGAUUACAGUCUUCAAAGUGAACUCCACAGCCUGAUUAUUCAUCAACCCACAGCAAAUGUGUGACUAAUCCAUGGGAUAGUGUGGAAAAUUCAGGGCAGUUGAGCACCGGAAUGAAUCAGUUGAUGCUGAACCCAUUUCUAGCAUGCAGAGAUCCAGUGGAAGCUGAAUAAAUAUUAGAAAGAAAAAAGAGAAAAAGAAAGCUAUCAGCACCCGUGUAACAGUUCUUUUGUUCCUGAAACAAUUAUGGAUCUAUUUGAACAAUGGAGAGUGCUCGGGCAAAGAUAUAUGUUUCUCUAGAGAUUUCUCAUACCACUUUCCUGUAAAGCAUCUUUGACUCAAAGCAGUUUUUGGUACAGCUGUUCUAAUUCUGUCUACUGAAAUGAAGUUGCUGUUAUCUGAUGGUCUUUUUGAUCGAAUGGAAUUUGGGGUGAAUACAGAUACUAAACACUGGUAGUCAGGUUCUACAAAGAACAGUUGAUAUCUUUUUUUGGUAACAAAAACUGCCCCUGUUCCCAGAAACAUUUUUUAUCUACAAAAGAUACCUUGACUAAACAGAACUCUUGGACUUGAUAACAUUGAA